rnacentral:ncRNA from 1 species
CAAAAGCUUGGUCCUGGCUUUACUAACAACUAUAGCCAAAUUUACACAUGCAAGUAUCUGCGCCCCAGUGAGAAUGCCCUAUUCGCCCCGCCCGGGAAUUAGGAGCUGGUAUCAGGCACACCCUGUAGCCCACGACACCUUGCUCAGCCACACCCCCAAGGGAAUCCAGCAGUGAUAAACAUUAGGCCAUAUGUGAAAACCUGACCCAGUUAUGGCUUUAAGGGCCGGUAAAACUCGUGCCAGCCACCGCGGUUAUACGAGAGGCCCAAGUUGUUAGUCCCCGGCGUAAAGGGUGGUUAAAGCAUUUAAAAUUACUGAGGCCAAACAUUCUCAAGGCAGUUAUACGCUUCCGAGAACAUGAGGACCAACCACGAAAGUAGCCUCACUCAACUUGAACCCACGAAAGCUAGGGCACAAACUGGGAUUAGAUACCCCACUAUGCCUAGCCGUAAACAAAGACCCACUACACACGUCCGCCCGGGUACUACGAGCAUUAGCUUAAAACCCAAAGGACUUGGCGGUGCUUUAACCCCCACUAGAGGAGCCUGUUCUAGAACCGAUAAUCCCCGUUAAACCUUACCCCUUCUUGUUCAACCCGCCUAUAUACCUCCGUCGUCAGCCCACCCUGCAAGGGAUUAAUAGUAGGCACAAUUGGCACAGCCCAACACGUCAGGUCGAGGUGUAGCGUAUGAAGGGGAAAGAAUGGGCUACAUUCUCUCUCCAGAGAAUUACGAAUGGCACAAUGAAACUUGUGAUCUGAAGGAGGAUUUAGCAGUAAGCAAAGAAAUAGAGUGUCUAGCUGAAACCGGCUAUUAAGCACGCACACACCGCCCGUCAUUCUCCCCAAACACAACCAAUCAAUAACUAAUACAAUUUCGAACACGAAGGGGAGGCAAGUCGUAACAUGGUAAGUGUACCGGAAGGUGCACUUGGAAUAU